rnacentral:rRNA from 1 species
AAGGGGCAGUAAUGCGUGGGUAAUCUACCCUGGGGACCGGGAUAGCUCUUCUAACGAGGAGGUAAUACCGGGCAAUGUGAUUGGGAGGCAUCUUUUGAUCACCAGAUGAAUUUCGCCCUGGGAGGAGCUCACGUCGUAUUAGCUAGUUGGUGGGGUAACGGCCCACCAAGGCAAAGAUGCGUAGCGGGUGUGAGAGCACGACCCGCGCCACUGGCACUGAGACACUGGCCAGACACCUACGGGUGGCUGCAGUCGAGGAUCUUUGGCAAUGGGCGCAAGCCUGACCAAGCGACGCCGCGUGUGCGAUGAAGGCCUUCGGGUUGUAAAGCACUGUCGAGGGGGAUCAAGGCGCAAGCUUGAGAGAUCCCUGGAGGAAGCACGGGCUAAGUUCGUGCCAGCAGCCGCGGUAAGACGAACCGUGCGAACGUUGUUCGGAAUCACUGGGCUUAAAGGGCGCGUAGGCGGCUCAUCAAGUCGGGGGUGAAAUACUUCAGCUUAACUGGAGAAGUGCCUUCGAUACUGGUGGGCUUGAGGGAGGUAGGGGUCUUUGGAACUUCUGGUGGAGCGGUGAAA